rnacentral:piRNA from 1 species
CCAGAUUCCACUGGGCAGCCUCG